AAAAAUAAGUUUUUAUUUUCUUUAUCAAGAACCAAAGAGAAAAAAUAAUUAUAAAAAGCACAUGCAAAUAUCAGCAAAUAUGUAAAAAAAUAAUUAUUAAGUCUUACUUAUAUUACUUUAUCAGUUAAAGACCUCUCUGCAUUAUAUCCUUCUUCUGUCGGCACUGUGCAGUGUUCGAUGCGAUAUGUUCAUGAUCUUAUCAGAGACAAAUUCGAAGGAAGUGCUAGGCUCGAGGUCCAACCACGUGCGUAGACGUUACCAUGUUCAUUUCUUGCAAUAUAAAACAAUUUUCUGAGAAACUGCUUCUGCAAGGUACUAUAAUUUAAUCAAAGGUCACACACCAUACACCACUUCUUUCAAAACAAAUCAGCCAGUUUAUCAGAAAAAUACCUCAUACUAAAGGUAAAAGGUUGACAAAAGAUUCCAACAUACUGAAAAAUUCCAUAUAAAAAGGAAUCAACUAACAUAAUAAGGGUGUUGAAAUCACACAAUAUUUGCUUUUAAUUAGUACAUUUUAAGAAAACUGGUUUAUCUUCCUCUGCAUAAUUCCAUGCUGUUAAUUAUCUCUAGAUAACCUUUAGCAAUUAGAACAUGGAAUCAGAAGUCUUAAAUCUUCUGGUUAAUUUCUUAAGAUCAACAUCUUAGGAGUUAAAAUUACUCCAUUUUAGAAAGCUUGCAGCAUAGGAACUGAAUUGAAUUGACAUAACUAAGAACUCAACAAUAAACACAAAAUUUCAGCCAUGUAAAUUCCCUCUUUUUUUCUCAGAACUUUCAACUGUUAUAUUGAGUAAUAGCAGUGGCCAGCAUGGAUUGUUUCACUAUUCACGACAGAGAGAUCGUAGUAAUCAUCAUCGACUCAUCAUAGUCUAAGCACAAAUUCCAUUGUCAUAAAAUAAACACAAGAAGAAAGGGCAAGAAAACAAGCAUUCAAUUUGUUUUCCUCUUUUCAAAUUGCAAAAACUUAACAUAACAUAACAUGUGAUAGCAGUAGUAGCAGUAGUCCCACCACUGAUGAAUAGAGAGAAUUGCAUUGAUACACAGAACAUGAUCUAAUCAUGCAAAAGACUAACCUAAUCAACCAGAAGGUACAUAAUAACAACACAAGGUGAAAAAACCCUUCCUAAUUAUUACUUUCAGUGUGUGUGGGUGGGAGAGAGAGAAUAGAAUUAAACUUGUUCUAAUUUGAGGCAAGGAAAAAUCGAAUAUGAUCGAGAAAGGUCAAAUUUUGAGGCCGAUCCUUGCGUUUCACAUAACCAAUCGUCUCUUUCUGCGAAUAACAUCUCAGCCCUCGCUUCCCGUUCUUCUUCCACAUCUCCAUCGCGUAAUUCCUGUGUGCAUAAUACGCCUCCGCGCAUGUUACCCCCACCACCGUCUCCCCCUCCGCCUCCUUCCCCUCCUCCUCCUCGCCCUCCCCCGCCGGAACCACCUUUAUUGGGAGACGCUCGUAGUGGGCGCGUGAUGUCCCCUCCAGUUCGUCCAUCCGAACGAGGCCGCGCGUGGAGACAGAGUAGAGCUCCCCGUGGACCCAACAACCCGACCCGGGAAUGUUGAGGAGGAAAGGGACCCGGUAUGGCCCGCAUACAAGAGGGUAUUUUCCGGCGGUGCGAUAGGUUCCGACGAAGGAAGCGUCGCCGGCGCGGAUGAGAUCUUGAAGAAGCGGGUGAUUGGAGAAUCCUCUCUUGAGGGUUCCGUAGGUGAAUAUUAACGUUCUCUCUCCGUCGCCGUUACCGUUAACCUCUCUUUCUCUUUCGGCCACCAUAUUUUCAGGAUAUGAAUUUGAUUGAGCCCGGAAGAGGAACAGAAGAUUGAAUGGUAAGCAUGAAAGAUUCACAACUUCCCUUUUUUAUAGUCCCAUUUUUUUUUUCUUUUUUAAUAUUCCUUUUUCCUUAAUUUUUUUGUGCCUUUAAAUUUCAUAAAAAUCAAUUAAGCCAAACUUAUUAGCACUUAAUUAAGAUUAAAAAAAAUUCUUGAUGCUUAAAUAAAUGGUUAUUCGGCUUUGAUAUCAUGGAAAGUGAAAAAAAAAUCAUCAACAUUUAAAUACGAUCAUGAUAAAAUUUUUUAAAAAUAAGUCACGUGUUAUUAUUUUAUUUACUCACUUAAAUUUAUUUAAAAAAAUAUUUAAAAUAAACCAAUCAUUAAUGUCUGUAGGUAUCUCCAAUUAAAUGUGCUCUCACAUGCGUUUAAUUAUAGUAUCUUGUUUAAUAAAAAAUACAGAGUUUUAAAAAUAGUACUUAAUAUUAGAACCUAAUAAAGUACAUAUUUUUUAAUCAUUCUUUGAAACUGUUCUGUCAUUUAAUGUCAAAAUAAAAUAAUUUAAUCUAACCAAAGUUUAGCAGACUCGGGGUUGAUACGUUUUAUAAUAAUUAAAAGCACACAAAAUGAAUUUAAAAUGUAUAAUUAUAAUACUAUAUCUAAAACAAAGUAUAAAUUUAUAAGCUUUUAAUAUUUAACAAAACAACAGGAAUCUACAAUUCAUUAAAUUAAUCUCUCUGAUAUUUCAGUUUUCAGUGAGAAUUAAUAUUUCUUAUUCCUAUAAAUAAAUAACUGAUAUUACUCGAUUUAAACGAAAUAAAGGAACAUCUAUUAAAUUUCAAAAUACUAAUUUACUAAUAAAAUAUUACUAACUUUUCAUUUAUUAUAUUACAUAUUAUUAUUUUUUUUAAAACUAAUUCAUUACAAAUAUAUUAUUCAUUUUAUAUAGAUACUUUUUUAAAAUUAUUUAAAAAGAAAAACCAAGAGUUGGAAUUGGGUUCGCCCUAUUCAGACACUUUUGUCAAAACAGGUUUAUUUGGAUAAGUAAAUUGGUUUUUUGAAUUUCGUUUUGAGAAAUAGGUUUUGUUUGGAAGGAUGAGUAUUAAUUAACGAGUAUUAAGCUCUAUGAUUGCAGUAAUCCAACUGAACCGGUGAGAUGCAUGAACCAACUAGAAGGAAUCACAUGAUUAGAAUCGUUUUUUCUUUUCAAGAAUCG
rnacentral:lncRNA from 1 species